CAGGACAAACAGUUGAUUGAGAGUGGCCCACUCUUGGACGCACUCUCCCUCGCAUGCUGGUGUGUGCCCAUCAUGCAAACUGUGCCUCUAUUGUGGCUCCUUCUCACAUUUCAGAAGUCUUUCUUUGUGAGCGGUGCGGAGUCAGUGGUGUGACACGCUGUCUGUAUUGUACUAUGCACACCCAACAAUUCUAACAAUUCCUUAAGGUGCUGGACAUUCUACACUGCAGACGUGGACAAUCUCUGAAGCAUCCUCGUCAGGUUACUUAUCUGAUAUCCUGCAUUGGACGAGCGGAAACUUUCCCCAAUUAAUUGUUGGCCAGACUGAAACCAUCAAUGCUGUCCCUGCUCCCAACUUGACUCCCACACUGUUGACUCUGGACCUCCCCCGGCAGUGGCUCAGUUGUUAGUACUGCUCCCUCACAGCACCAAGGGCGCCCUGGUUCGAAUCCCAGCUUCAGGUGUCAAUGAGUCUGAUUGUCCCCGUCUGCUGCGUGUACAUGUCCCAUCGAGGGUGAGAUCUGCACCAUGAGCACAUCACACUGGACCCUGGCACUUAUAGUUCUAUGUCUCAU